UGUGCUCACAUUCUAAGGUGGUCUGCUAAGGAUGGGCCAGGGGGACCUCAGCAAGCGGAAGGGAGGCCGAAGCACAACAAAUGUUUGCACGUCGAAGCUCAUCCUCUUGGAAUUCGGAACCCUGGACAACUGUACAAGAUGUCUAGAUGCCCUGAUGGAGGGAGAAUCAUAUGGAGAGAACACACAAAGAGAAGAGUCCUUAAACCACAUGAAGACUCAUAGCAGCUUCCCUGUUGAGCCCAAUGCUCAACCAAUGCAGCCAAAAUAGAGAUCAUCAGCCAAGUCAGUUGUAAAACCACCCAUCUGAGCCCAGCCCAGACUAAAAACACACAAGAAUGCUAUUGUUAACACCUUCGCUUCAGAGGUGAGGAAGCUGUGGCCAAG
rnacentral:lncRNA from 1 species